UUCGUAGGUGGUUUGGUAAGUCUGAUGUUAAAGAUCAGGGCUCAACCCUGGGAGUGCAUUGGAAACUACCAGACUCGAGUACAGUAGAGGCAAGCGGAAUUCCCAGUGUAGCGGUGAAAUGCGUAGAUAUUGGGAAGAACACCAGUGGCGUAAGCGGCUUGCUGGGCUGUAACUGACACUGAGGAACGAAAGCCAGGGUAGCGAAUGGGAUUAGAUACCCCAGUAGUCCUGGCCGUAAACGAUGGAUAUUAGGCGUAGCGGGUAUCGACCCCUGCUGUGCCGUAGCAAACGCGAUAAAUAUCCCGCCUGAGUAGUACGGCCGCAAGGUUGAA
rnacentral:rRNA from 1 species